UAAUGCAGUCGUACGCUUCUUUUUCCACCGGAGCUUGCUCCACCGGAAAAAGAAGAGUGGCGAACGGGUGAGUAACACGUGGGUAACCUACCCAUCAGAAGGGGAUAACACUUGGAAACAGGUGCUAAUACCGUAUAACAAUCGAAACCGCAUGGUUUUGAUUUGAAAGGCGCUUUCGGGUGUCGCUGAUGGAUGGACCCGCGGUGCAUUAGCUAGUUGGUGAGGUAACGGCUCACCAAGGCCACGAUGCAUAGCCGACCUGAGAGGGUGAUCGGCCACAUUGGGACUGAGACACGGCCCAAACUCCUACGGGAGGCAGCAGUAGGGAAUCUUCGGCAAUGGACGAAAGUCUGACCGAGCAACGCCGCGUGAGUGAAGAAGGUUUUCGGAUCGUAAAACUCUGUUGUUAGAGAAGAACAAGGAUGAGAGUAACUGUUCAUCCCUUGACGGUAUCUAACCAGAAAGCCACGGCUAACUACGUGCCAGCAGCCGCGGUAAUACGUAGGUGGCAAGCGUUGUCCGGAUUUAUUGGGCGUAAAGCGAGCGCAGGCGGUUUCUUAAGUCUGAUGUGAAAGCCCCCGGCUCAACCGGGGAGGGUCAUUGGAAACUGGGAGACUUGAGUGCAGAAGAGGAGAGUGGAAUUCCAUGUGUAGCGGUGAAAUGCGUAGAUAUAUGGAGGAACACCAGUGGCGAAGGCGGCUCUCUGGUCUGUAACUGACGCUGAGGCUCGAAAGCGUGGGGAGCAAACAGGAUUAGAUACCCUGGUAGUCCACGCCGUAAACGAUGAGUGCUAAGUGUUGGAGGGUUUCCGCCCUUCAGUGCUGCAGCUAACGCAUUAAGCACUCCGCCU
rnacentral:rRNA from 1 species